UGACCUUAGGAUGUUUGUCAGGUUCAGGCUCUCUGUUAAAUCUACCCAUCUCUAUAGCCAGAGGGAGGGUGACGGAUCGGCACAAACUGACCUUAGGAUGUUUGUCAGGUUCAGGCACUCUGUUAAAUCUACCCAUCUCUAUAGCCAGAGGGAGGGUGACGGAUCGGCACAAACUGACCUUAG